rnacentral:rRNA from 2 species
AGAUAGCUGGUUCUCUCCGAAAUAGCUUUAGGGCUAGCCUCAAGUGAUGAUUAUUGGAGGUAGAGCACUGUUUGGACGAGGGGCCCCUCUCGGGUUAUCGAAUUCAGACAAACUCCGAAUGCCAAUUAAUUUAACUUGGGAGUCAGAACAUGGGUGAUAAGGUCCGUGUUCGAAAGGGAAACAGCCCAGACCACCAGCUAAGGUCCCAAAAUAUAUGUUAAGUGGAAAAGGAUGUGGCGUUGCCCAGACAACUAGGAUGUUGGCUUAGAAGCAGCCAUCAUUUAAAGAGUGCGUAAUAGCUCACUAGUCGAGUGACACUGCGCCGAAAAUGUACCGGGGCUAAACAUAUUACCGAAGCUGUGGAUUGUCCUUUGGACAAUGGUAGGAGAGCGUUCUAAGGGCGUUGAAGCAUGAUCGUAAGGACAUGUGGAGCGCUUAGAAGUGAGAAUGCCGGUGUGAGUAGCGAAAGACGGGUGAGAAUCCCGUCCACCGAUUGACUAAGGUUUCCAGAGGAAGGCUCGUCCGCUCUGGGUUAGUCGGGUCCUAAGCUGAGGCCGACAGGCGUAGGCGAUGGAUAACAGGUUGAUAUUCCUGUACCACCUAUAAUCGUUUUAAUCGAUGGGGGGACGCAGUAGAAUAGGCGAAGCGUGCGAUUGGAUUGCACGUCUAAGCAGUAAGGCUGAGUAUUAGGCAAAUCCGGUACUCGUUAAGGCUGAGCUGUGAUGGGGAGAAGACAUUGUGUCUUCGAGUCGUUGAUUUCACACUGCCGAGAAAAGCCUCUAGAUAGAAAAUAGGUGCCCGUACCGCAAACCGACACAGGUAGUCAAGAUGAGAAUUC